rnacentral:rRNA from 1 species
AUACGCAGGGUGCAAGCGUUACUCGGAAUUACUGGGCGUAAAGGGUGCGUAGGUGGUUCGUUAAGUCUGAUGUGAAAGCCCUGGGCUCAACCUGGGAAUUGCAUUGGAUACUGGCGGGCUGGAGUGCGGUAGAGGGUAGUGGAAUUCCCGGUGUAGCAGUGAAAUGCGUAGAUAUCGGGAGGAACAUCCGUGGCGAAGGCGACUGCCUGGACCAGCACUGACACUGAGGCACGAAAGCGUGGGGAGCAAACAGGAUUAGAUACCCUGGUAGUCCACGCCCUAAACGAUGCGAACUGGAUGUUGGGAGCAAUCAGGCUCUCAGUGGCGAAGCUAACGCGUUAAGUUCGCCGCCUGGGGAGUACGGUCGCAAGACUGAA